rnacentral:tRNA from 24 species
GUCGGGAUAGCUCAGUU